rnacentral:rRNA from 1 species
UAGUGGCGAACGGGUGAGUAACACGUGGGCAAUCUGCCCUUCACUCUGGGACAAGCCCUGGAAACGGGGUCUAAUACCGGAUAAUACCUUCCUCUGCAUGGGGGUGGGUUGAAAGCUCCGGCGGUGAAGGAUGAGCCCGCGGCCUAUCAGCUUGUUGGUGGGGUGAUGGCCUACCAAGGCGACGACGGGUAGCCGGCCUGAGAGGGCGACCGGCCACACUGGGACUGAGACACGGCCCAGACUCCUACGGGAGGCAGCAGUGGGGAAUAUUGCACAAUGGGCGAAAGCCUGAUGCAGCGACGCCGCGUGAGGGAUGACGGCCUUCGGGUUGUAAACCUCUUUCAGCAGGGAAGAAGCGCAAGUGACGGUACCUGCAGAAGAAGCGCCGGCUAACUACGUGCCAGCAGCCGCGGUAAUACGUAGGGCGCGAGCGUUGUCCGGAAUUAUUGGGCGUAAAGAGCUCGUAGGCGGCUUGUCGCCGUCGGAUGUGAAAGCCCGGGGCUUAACCCCGGGUCUGCAUUCGAUACGGGCAGGCUAGAGUUCGGUAGGGGAGAUCGGAAUUCCU